UUCUACAGAAUUUAAUCUUAGGAAAGAUCAAAACAAAAAACCUAAGCAGAACUGGAGUGCCUACCAGGGGGUUUCGCUUCACUUUGAUGCUGCCCUUAGCCAGCAGCCCUGGAGAACAAGUGUGAGUGAGACUCAUAAGAGAAGGAAGACUUCAAGAAGAGGGCUCUGGAGUUAGUGACAGGGGACUCACAGAAUAAGUUGAGUAAGUUCCAGUGAAAGUCUGCUUCCAGGUAGAACUUCUAUCCCCGCCUUUUGGAACUUGAAGUACCUGUUUGUUAUUUGAUAGACUGUAUGGCACCCUUCUUCCUAGAUGUACUCAGUGACAUAUUUUUAAAAUGGAAGAGAAAUGACUUUAACAUGAGGAAUUGUGAGAUCCCUUAGGGCAUCAUGAAACUAAGGGAAAAAAAAUAUGUUGUCAAGUCAGCCCUGCAGUGGCUGGAGAAAGCAACCACAUUUCUUUUUAACAUAAUUGUACUGUCUCUGUCAUUUUGUCAUCAAUAUCAAAUUAGCAAACUAAUGAUUACAAAUGAAAAGAAAAAGUCAGAUCUGGAAAUGUGACAGAGUAAGUGAGACAGACCAGCCAAGGUUACCCGAUACAAGGGACUUUUGAUGCUAAAAAUGAGAUGAUCCUGGGCAAAUCAGGAUGGUUGGCCAACCUAGGUGAGUCGCAAUUUAAAUAAACCCUGAGUUCUGUUCUU